UGCAGUCGAACGGUGAAGCCCAGCUUGCUGGGUGGAUCAGUGGCGAACGGGUGAGUAACACGUGAGCAACCUGCCCCUGACUCUGGGAUAAGCGCUGGAAACGGCGUCUAAUACUGGAUAUGUGACGUGACCGCAUGGUCUGCGUCUGGAAAGAAUUUCGGUUGGGGAUGGGCUCGCGGCCUAUCAGCUUGUUGGUGAGGUAAUGGCUCACCAAGGCGUCGACGGGUAGCCGGCCUGAGAGGGUGACCGGCCACACUGGGACUGAGACACGGCCCAGACUCCUACGGGAGGCAGCAGUGGGGAAUAUUGCACAAUGGGCGCAAGCCUGAUGCAGCAACGCCGCGUGAGGGAUGACGGCCUUCGGGUUGUAAACCUCUUUUAGCAGGGAAGAAGCGAAAGUGACGGUACCUGC
rnacentral:rRNA from 1 species